GGACAGGUCGUAUAGUGGUCUAGUGCACCGCACUCGAAAUGCGGAGAGGGGCAACCCUCCGUGGGUUCGAAUCCCACCCUGUCCG
rnacentral:tRNA from 1 species